rnacentral:lncRNA from 1 species
AUACACUUACAAUGAAGUGUGUCACACAAUGAGCUUUUAAGACCAGAAAAAAAACUUGAGAAACAUGGAGAUGUUGCUUCUGCAAAAGAGAAACAAUGGUUAAAAGAUAUAACUAAUAAAUUUGCUACCUAUCUCAAUAUGUACAAAUACAUAGAUCUAACAUUUGCAACAUCAUUAUUAAUUUACUACUACCCUUAGAGAGGUAUUCUUUACUCCUCUGUUAAAUCUAUUGUCACUUACACAUAUACUAUGUCAACACCAACAAUCAUCAACAAAGCACUUACGCAUAUAUUAUAUCAACACCAAGAUUAUAUUUUACACAACAAUAUUUAUUUUAAAUAGAACUUCUUCCUAGCUUUCUCUUCAUUUUCUCAUUUUUCUAACAAAAGAACCAAAUAUNNNNNNNNNNNNNNNNNNNNNNNNNNNNNNNNNNNNNAGAUCUGAAUAUUGUUACAUACCAUGUAGAUCUGAAGAGAAAUUUGUAGAUCUGAUGAUUAUUAUUUAUCAUGUCGAUCUAACAUUAAAAACAACAGAUCAAAGUAUUAGUCACAUAAAGAGAAGACUUGAAAUCCUUAACAAAAAACGAAAACAAACAAGUUAAAACUCUAACCUUUGUCUACCUUCAACUUCACAAACAAGCGUAGCCUCUUGUUCCUCAGCCAUGAGGAUCUUUAUAUCUUUCUUCUUAUGUAUUCCAUGAUAAAAAAACAAAAAACAAAAAAAAAAGCAAAAUCGUAAAGAGUUGUAAAAACUUAAAACGAAAAACCCAAUAAAGAAAUCGAACACGAAGAAAAUGGAGGAGAUGGAUGGGUAGGUGCUUUGAGUUCGACGAGGUGGAUGGAUGAGAUGACGACUCACGACUGGUGAAAACGGAGGAGAAGGAGUGAGUUGGCGGCGGCGCAUAAGGGUUCACUCUACUAGGGUUUGGAACAUUGGAACAAAGUGAGAUAACUGAAGGAGUUGGCCAAAGUUAAGAACCAAAAUGGCAAAAACGACGUCGUAUACGUAUCAGUAUUAAAAUUAAAAUAAAAAUACUAAUAAACACGGGUCGGUUCGGAUACCCGUGGAUGACAAAUC